UACGUAGGGGCUAGCGUUAUCCGGAUUUACUGGGCGUAAAGGGUGCGUAGGUGGUUUCUUAAGUCAGAGGUGAAAGGCUACGGCUCAACCGUAGUAAGCCUUUGAAACUGAGAAACUUGAGUGCAGGAGAGGAGAGUGGAAUUCCUAGUGUAGCGGUGAAAUGCGUAGAUAUUAGGAGGAACACCAGUUGCGAAGGCGGCUCUCUGGACUGUAACUGACACUGAGGCACGAAAGCGUGGGGAGCAAACAGGAUUAGAUACCCUGGUAGUCCCUGA
rnacentral:rRNA from 1 species